AGCCGCUAGAUAUCGCUUUGGACC
rnacentral:siRNA from 1 species